UCCAUAAUGUAACUGACCUUGAAUUUCUGGCUUUAAAGGUUGAAGCACCAGUCAGUGCACUGAUUGCAGUUGUAUACAGACCUCCAGACUACACUCUGAGGCCAUUCCUGAAAAACCUGCCAGAGCGAUGUCUCCAUUCUGGAGUCAUGAAGACCUACCAUAGUUACCAUGACCCUGUAUACUGUGCAUUGUCCUGUGAUGAUUCAUGAUCUAGAUCUUUGACUACAGUGUUUCCCUCUGUGAUCCAUCCCCUUCAGAGCUGAGACACUCAAGACUGAACAGACUGCACAGUUUCUGUGACUGAGCCUCCAAAACACCUUCUUUGAAACCACACAUGAUAGAAGGGCUUUAUAUUUGCAGCAGCACUACUAAAGGUAUUCAGUUUAUUACAGGAUGUGUUUGUUUCUUAGGACCAGCUCUAAGUGCACACUACCUAACAUAUACACCUUUCUGUUCAUUACAAACCAACUACUCUGGAUCAUAUGGCCAGUCGGCAGGAAUGUUUCUGCAGGAAAACAUCACUGGAGAUCACCAUCAUUGUCAGACUGACUGUGCCUCCUCUGUGCAGUGUCAAGAUCCUCCUUAAAUGAGUGUUCCUCAGCUAUCCUGCUUCUGUGCUGCUUGCCACACAUCAAACACUGGCCGGAUGACAGGGAGGAUCCACUCUGAAGUCACUGGACAUGAUGAGGAUCAUAUGGGACUUUAUAGUUUCACAGAAAUGUUGUGCUCUUUGAUUACAGGUUUUAAAUGGACAUAAUGACUGCCUCUCUCUGAUCAACAGGCUAAAGGAUUGUUUUCAUUGUUAGAGCUCUGUACAAUGUAUGCUUAUUUAAUAUUUCAUCACAGAGCAAACCUUUAUUUAUUUAACAUAUUUUUAUUUUGUUUUAAUGUUGAAUUAACUGUGGGGAUUUUUUUAACUGGGCACUCGGGAUGUCAUAUGACCAGAAAUGUGGUAACUGGAAUUCAACAGUAUG